UUUGCGACGAUUAGCUAUUAACAUGCAAUAACUCUUUAACAUUGAAUUUAUUUUAUGAAAUAUGCUUGUUAUGUUUGGCUUUUGAGCUAC